GCUAUCCAUGGGAUAGCUCAGUUGGUAGAGUAUGAGAUCCUUAACCUCAGGGUCAUGGGUUCAAGCCCCACCUUGAGCA